AUAGAAAAGAAAACCAAUAAUCAACUUGUUUAAUCAUUUAUAAUUUAUAAACUCGUUUUCACUCAAGUACAUUCUAUUUCCUGAGUUAAUCCGAGUUACAGAGCAGUUCGUGAAAGUUAUUUAUCUUAGAAACAGGUAAGCAUCUAUAAAUAUCUAUGAUAUAAGUAGAAAGCGCUUUUUCGAUAAUAAAACGACUGUUUUCCCUCAUUUUCAAUGUGACAAUUAUAAGUCACGUUCAGAGGUUUUGCUAUGCGCAUUUCAGCAUUUCUCUGACCAAUGUGACUCGAAUCUUAACGACCGGUUACGUCAAAGAGGCAAUGAUUCUUUGAGUUACCUCGAACGUGCUUGGAAACUUGCUAAUGACGUUUUAACAACCUCUGACUUCGACGUAAGGACGUUAAGAUCAUCGAUUGUUUUAGAAUUAACUUGUUUAUUUAUGAUGUGACUUUGUCGACGAAUCAUCAAGGAUACUUUUUAUACACCUGUAUUUCCAGAUAUUAAUUUGUUUUAGGAUAACUGUACAUUAUUGGAACUGAAAGUCGAAUUCGCCACACCUUAGAGAGAAAGAAAACGUUAUAGAAGAGUUUGCUAAGUCACUCUAUCAAACCACAGAGAGAAAAAAUCCUAUCACCGAAACUAACGGUACUACAAUUAUGAUGAAGCUGUAGCUGUAACAAGAAAUAAUCUUUGGCGAAGAGACGACGAUGUGGCGACCUCACGAAAUACAUUCGACAAGGCCUCGACAUUCAACGAUCUGGAAGACUGAACAAUAACCAUGAAGACAACCGAGAAAACAACGAAACGGAACACUUUAAUCGCUCGAUUUUUUAGGGACAUUUUUUUGGUUUAUACAUAUGUAAGUAAAGUGACUCAACAACAUUUAAGCCGCAAGCAUACCGCCCACUUUUAGUACCGACCAUACUUGGUUGUACUACUGUUAAAAACACUUUUCCAGACACUCCUCGUGACGUCACGGAUGUGUUUGAAGGACGGUCGAGGACAAAGACAUCGCAAAAAAACAAAUUACUGAAGAUUGAAGAAUAAGAAGGUGUAAAGGAAACGAUGGGUUUGGUUGAGGAUGUGUUAAAUAAUCAAAAUUAGCAAGUUUUUAUUAGUAACUUUCGAAUUGCAAAAAAAAUCUUGAAGAUAUGUAAAUUUUUUGUUUCAAAAUUGCGAUUUUAACUAUUUUAUCUAUUUACAAUUUUUUUUCUUGGAGGAAAUGAUUUAAGAAUCUCCUUAGAAAUGUCGUAACACAAAUAGAAAAGCAGAGGUGAAACAGAAUCUCUGUGGUUUCUACAACGCUGACGUUCAUUAUGUUGUAAGCUGGUUUAAUUGAAAAAUGUAUAACUAAAAUGCGAAUAAGACUUUGUGAUUACAAUAUAGUUUAAGGCAUAAGAUAAUAAAAUUGAACUGCAACAAAACCGAUAAUAGUGUUGCAGAUGCGCCAAUGUGCACAAUACAAUGGAAUGACAAGAAAGGUGAAGAGUAUAAACAGUUUCGCCCACCAAAACUUAAAAACCUACAUGUUGCAUAUGAUUUAGAAUACUUCUAAAGAAUCUGCAUUGGGAGUUCUCAUACAUGUGGCGAUCGUCUUCGUUAGACUUUCAUGCAGAUUAACCGGGUAUUGAAAAACUACUGUCAAAAAAUCCCGAAAAGUCCCAAGCGGUGCGAAAACGCAUCCCUUAAGUCAGGUGAUAACACCGUUAGUUGUCCACAGCGUUCGAAAUAUACUGGAAUUUUUCGACGCAAAAUUUGAGGAACACAAUUGCGUUGUUUGGUUAAACUCAAAUGGUUAAUGAGGUAGAGCACCAAGAAACAUUAAAUUGAGGACUGAUAAUAAAACUCUUAAAAAGACACAGGAUACCCUAAUGAUUUUUGUGGAGUCUUACUACAGAACUAAUUAAAGGUCAUCUUAUUCAUUGCGAGUUAUGCUGACCAUUGAGACAAUGUAACUGGUGUGACAGAUCGAAUUUGUCGAAAAAGACAAACCUAAUUUUUUCCACAUGGAAGCGAAAAUUCGGUAAUUCUAGAACGUCAUUGCACUGAAGGAGCUUGUUUAAUGAAGCUAGAUAUGUGGGUAUUAUUCCAGACAGUGAGAUAAUGUAAAAAUCAUCCCUAAAUAACAGUGUCAAAAAAGCAAAUUAAUUCCAUCCAAUUAGAAAUAGCGGGAUGUAUCGAAAUCUUUGGGAAUCAACAAGACAUCAUUGUAGGAUAUGCAAUCGACAAUCUCAAGACCGCACACAUGUUACCUGAAGAUACAUAAAAUAGAACGACGUGCAUUCCGUCUAGGUGCAGUAAAGUCAAAUUCAACUGAGAAUGACAAGAUCAAACAUCCAAAUUGGAGUUUGCUUAUAACAAAAAUAGUGUACAGAACUAAAUUACUAACUAAUUUCUUCAAAUAAACUGUCUCGUAUGAUAAAGCAAGUGAAUUGAAAUUUUAUAUCUGAAAUCUAGGCCCUUCUACAAAUCCCUCAACAAUUUAUUACCCAAAAAAAUCAGCAGUAGUGCAAUUGGUGUUAACGUGUGAUGUCCAUUUAUAAUAAAACGAUUAUCUUACAAAUACAAUAAUUGCAAAGCCUG
rnacentral:lncRNA from 1 species